rnacentral:rRNA from 1 species
GGGUGCCAUCAUACCAGUGUUAAUGCACUGCAUCCCAUUAGAGCUCUACAGUUAAGCGCAUUUGGGCUAGAGUAGUAAUGGGAUGGGUGACCUCCCAGGAAGUCCUAGUGUUUCACACU